AAUAUGGUUCUUAUUCAAGCUGAAAGCUGAAUGAAACUUACUUGUAUGCUAGAUUAAAAUAUAUAUUUUAAAAAAUAUAUUACAUUUUCAAAAUGUUUGGCAUGUUUGUUUUUGUUGUUAUGUUAUUUGGAGGUCCAUGUUAGGUAUGUGUGUACCUGUUCUGAAUAGGAGGGAUAGAAGGAGUCUUAUGGUGGAGCUUUGUUUUUGUUUUUUCAUCUUUCUGGCUCUAAGGGACAUUCACCGGCCUUUUUCUUUACGUUUUCUCGACUCGGACAGGAGUGUGGCGAGGUUGUUGUGUUUCAGCAGUCUUAUCCACUGUUCAUCUGAGUUCACUUUACAUUCAUUCCAAGUUGUAAAUGCUAGUCUUCAUUUUUUUUUUUUUCCAAAUAAAAAGACCAUGGACCUUGACUGGGUUUCUCGUGUGGUUAUUUUAGGGGCAUGAUAAGAUGUCGUGUUUGACCACACGUGACAGGUUUUUUAUCUAUUGUGAAAUAUCAACUGAUAUUGGAUUAUACCUGAUAAAGAUCAAUUAGGCAUAUUUCAAUAAUAGUCCUAGCAAAUUCAAUUAUUCAAGAUCACUGUUUAUCCUUCGUAGGCUAAAGUGUCAUGUGACAGUGUUACAUUUAGCAUUACCACUCAUAGCAACAUUUGAGCCUCUCAGGAAAGAACACCGCUUCAGUCUUUCUCACUGAGCCCUAGAUAUACAUACACAUCUACACUGUGCUUCAGUCUUUCUCACUGAGCCCUAGAUAUACAUACACAUCUACACUGUGCUUCAGUCUUUCUCACUGAGCCCUAGAUAUACAUACACAUCUACACUGUGCUUCAGUCUUUCUCACUGAGCCCUAGAUAUACAUACACAUCUACACUGUGCUUCAGUCUUUCUCACUGAGCCCUAGAUAUACAUACACAUCUACACUGUGCUUCAGUCUUUCUCACUGAGCCCUAGAUAUACAUACACAUCUACACUGUGCUUCAGUCUUUCUCACUGAGCCCUAGAUAUACAUACACAUCUACACUGUGCUUCAGUCUUUCUCUCGCUCUAGAUCUGAGGGAGUUGCUAGGCAACAGCCACAUGCUGUUGGGGUUUUGAAAAAAGCAAGUGGGAGGUUAAAUAAGCCUCAACUGGAGGGAGAAGCUUCUGUGCUGUAAGCAACCUUGUCCGGGUAAGGCAAACCCAGGCUAACCUGUUAAUGUUUCAAACCCAGGCUAACCUGUUAAUGUUUCAAACCCAGGCUAACCUGAUAAUGUUUCAAACCCAGGCUAACCUGUUAAUGUUUCAAACCCAGGCUAACCUGUUAAUGUUUCAAACCCAGGCUAACCUGUUAAUGUUUCAAACCCAGGCUAACCUGUUCAUGUUUCAAACCCCACAGUAAUAGGGACAAAGGGUUGGUUUGCCAUGCUACAAUAUUACCUACAAGUCAAAGAAGACUUAACCACAUUGUUUAACCAUAUUUGGGUCAUGAUUACAGUUCGGCUGUCUGUCCACCCCCCACAGGCUAUCCCAGCUCCAUUCUGACCUUGUGUUUUAAAGUUUUCCAUGAGUACCGAUAGGAGUUUGAGCACAUGUUUCUCCAUACAGUGGAGUGGCUCUGCUUCUGUCCAUGAAAGGGCUAGCAUGCAUCAUUCUUUAGCAUACAGGUCCAAUCUCAAUAGGCUAUAGAAUGUGCACAUUCAUUUUAUGUGGAUUCCAGAUCCCCACAUGUUCUGUUCUGCUUAGAUGAGGCCUAUAGGAUUGUUACAUCAUGUUUGUGGUUUGUGUGAUAUAUUAAACACAUCUCCUAGCAUUGUAGACAUCUGGAAAUAUACACCGCCAUCUGUGACGAAAAUGUGUUCUAAUAACCAUGUAGAGGACCCACAAGACAUAAUGACUCACUCACACUGACACAGCUGACACCACUGGAGCACCAGCAGAGAAAUACACCCACCUUCACCCCUUAGGGACCAGUUAACUAAAGGCUCCAUGACAACCCACCUUCACCCCUUAGGGACCAGUUAACUAAAGGCUCCAUGACAACCCACCUUCACCCCUUAGGGACCAGUUAACUAAAGGCUCCAUGACAACCCACCUUCACCCCUUAGGGACCAGUUAACUAAAGGCUCCAUGAC
rnacentral:lncRNA from 13 species